AAGUCAAUUGCAGAACUGAAGAGAGAGUGACAGAGGCAAUAAAAAUGGACAGAUGUAUAGGGAGAGGGAGAUUUUGCUUCUUGGCAUAACCCCCCCCUCCAAAUGCAUGGAAUUUGCUGUAAUUGGAAUGUGUAAGUGGAAUUUGUUGUAAUUGGCUCGGGUAUAAAUGUACCAUUUAAAUUAAAUAGUGAAUGCUAUUAAAAAGAGAAACACAAACCGAUUUCUAGCAUGUAUCAUACUAUGUUUUGUUUGGUUUUCUUUCUUUCUUUGACUCCAUUUAAAUACACUUUUACACUAUUACUAGUGAUUUUAUAUAAAUCUUAAAUAUUUGAUAUGGUGUAUUUUUUCAAGUGUGCUAUGAAUGUAAAUUUAGCCUGUUACCAGAAUCACAGGUUUGGACAGGGUCAUGCUUUCUUUGUUAUUUAUUAUUUUAAUUAAUGAGGACAUUACAAUUCAGUAGAAUUUUAAUUAUUGAAAAACUUCAAGUUAGUCCUAGGAGCUUAAGAAAAAGCAACAAAAGUUAAUGAGGACAAAGUCAGUGACCAGCUAACACCCCCCAAAAUACAGAAGGUAGGACAUAUAACACUUAAAUUGAUUUUGGGGGAUUCCCUUCCAAAUCAUGCACAAAAGAGUUACUGACUUCUUGUAAUAACGAGUCCCAACAACUAUUUAGCCAAAUCCCCCAGAGUUGCAGUAAAAAAAGAAAAUCAUUUGGGUAGAGAGGAAGGACCAAUGGGAGUGUCUCCCUCCAAAACAGCCCAAUGGGGUACUGAGCAUUUUCAGUUGCCGCAGAAUGUUAAUUAUUUGUUGGGGAAAACAGAAAAUGGGGGAGCAAAUAGAAUGAAGUCUGCUGGAAGUGGGCACUGCUGGGCUGGAACCUAAACAGGAAUACUCCAUGCUGCAAGAUUUUGUUACAGGUCUCACUUGUUUUCGUUGUUAUUUUGCCUUCUGCAGUUGAGUCUUUCAGCUGUUUUUUGCUCUGGGAUCAAACAGCUGUCAGUGUUGUUAAUGACAUCAGAUUUUCUCCAUUAAAAUCUUUCAAUUAAAAAAAAAAGUGGCUGUGGAAAGCUCUUCCACAUCCCCCUUUUGUGAAGCAAUGAAAAAUCCAACGAAAGAUAGCAGCACUUAUUACAAAACCACAGACCGGAGCUUCUGUUGAUGGAAUCUCAUAAUGAGUAAUUAAGCUACUUUGCAGAAGUCAAGGCUGUCAUGCUUAUAACUGGGGGUAUUUCCAUUCUCCUGUGGAUGCAGCCAGGAAGAUGCACUGGGAAGGUGAUAAAGGAAGGAUAGGUAGACAGGAUUGUUCUAGAAAUAGCAUUGUUCUUCUGAAGCACGCAGGAUUCUCUCCCCCCCCCCACCUCCCUCAAAGUUGCAGCUUAAAAAUUAGCCUAGAGAAAUAACCUUCUCUGUGGUGUGAAAGGCACUUUCUAAAAACAUUCAUAGUGUAUCUCUGGAUAAACUUGAGAAAUGGCAAGCUGUGAGGGUUUGUUUUCCCCUCUAGCUGUGCUUCCUUAUCUCUCAAGGGAACAACAGAGACCAGGAUUUUUUGAAGCCUGGAGCUAAAACUGGAUGUAACAUGGUCUGUUUAGAAGUGGCUUCUAAAUGUAUUAGUAUCUAUUAUUUAUUAUGUUAUUUAUUUACAUCCUGCCUUUACCCUAGAACUGGGAUGCAAGGCAGCUCACAAGCAUUACAACAAACACAGGUAUAGCACAGAAAAUUUAAAACAUAUUUUUAAAACAGUUUAAAAUGUAAUUAAACGAUAACAGAGUUAAAAUGAUAUUUAAAAAAUCUAGUAAACAAAUCAAGUUAAAAUAGCACAACACUAUUAAAAGCCCUUCCUUAAAAGCAGUCAUAAAGCAGCCUUCCCCUGCUGAUGGAAGGACAACAAGGAGGGAGCCAGACUCGCCUCUCUAGGAAGGGAGUGCCAAAAUCUGGCAGCAACCACUGAGAAUGCCCAUCUGUCCCAGCCACAUUCAUGUCAAAAGCAGGAUACACCAGGUCCAAUUCUAUGAGUGAAAGGGACAGGAGGCAGUCCUGUCAUUGAGAACCAGGUGCCACACUUUUUGUGAGAUCAGAAGCACCUUCUCAGACAGAAUGCACAUGUCUGCAUGCAGCAGACUUGUAGGAUGAGAGAGUCCUGCAAGUGAGCUCACCCGCCUCAUUUUUAAAAGCUUGAUGGGAGGAAUGUCAACUGUUGGAGCAGCUUCAUGGCUACUGUUUGUUUGUGAACCCCUGCCAGGAGUGCCAACUUGGCCCUGUCACCAUGGGUGCCUGGGGCCGUGGGCGCCAUGCAACGUGCAUGGCCCUGGCACUGAAAUUUGUGGGUGCUUGGCCCCUUCAUGGGGAAUUGUGUAGGUGCUUCCCCAGUUCCUCAGGCUAUGAAUCUGGAUUGUUGGGUUGGCCAGCUGUAAGGAGUAGACUGCCUUUGGUCUCUGGUGUGACUAGGGGAGAGGAUGUUCAUUAAUGUCAGGCUUUGGGGAAUUGGCUUCCUCCCCCAUGGCCGUAAAUAAGCAGAUCAAACGAAAUGAAUUCUUACCAGUUAGUUUCUUUAAUAAACACAGCGAAGGACAAAAGAAAACAUCAACACAAAAUGGUGGUGUUCCCAAUUAAGCUUACACCCCUUCCAUCCCUAUUAAUCUAUACCACUCCUACGUCUUGUAAUCUGAGUUUGUAUCCUCUGUGCUUUCUGUUCUGAGACUUUCUGAGCUCUUUCUUGACCUUGGGCUGAGUGGAGGAAUGCUGUCCAGAGACUGUGAGUCUCUCUUCAGUAUUUCUUCUCCUAGCUGUUCCCCAUCCAGUAUUUCCCAGCUUCUGCCUUCUGAACUAUGCUCCUCUGCAAACCACUGUUCCAAAUCUAUACUGUCCUCCUGCUUCUGGGAAGAUUCAGGAGCAGGGGGAGGGAGUGGCUCCCACUAUUCCUCCUCAGUGCAUCCCUCCUUAGCACAGUCCCUGACAUCCAUCAGCAUUUCAAAAAAUGUUACAAGUUCGGUCUUCCAGCUUCAGCUUUAAUUCCCACAACUGCAUUGACAUAGUGAGUAGAGUUUAGUGGCAUAAUGAUCAUGUUCACUAUCUGCACAGCUUAUAAGAAUUUAAGAAGAUAGAGCCAGUAUCCAAUCUAGUCCAGCAUUCAGUUCUCACAGUGGCCAACCAUCUGACUCUGGGAAGCCCACAAGCAGGACCUGUGCACAGCAGUGCUCUCCCUUCCUGCAGUUUCCAGCAACUGGUAAUCAGAAAUAUAUUGCCUCUGACCAUGAAAACAGUGCAUAGCCCUCGUGACUUCCAUGCAACAAGGGAACAAUUGUAUGUACCUUCAGAAAUAUAUACACAAUGUACUCUGUGUUUAAAACACACAUGCAUGGACUUCCGCGUUGGCGCCACCGGCAAUGGCGGAAUUCCUCUGAUCGGGAGGAAUUUGCCUCGUGGAAAUUCGGGUCUGGCCGCCACGGCGAAGGCGGAGACCCACUAAAAAUCACAGGCGGGUGAAGCCUGUGAACGUGGGAUUCGGCGGGCACCUUUUGCGCCUCCCCUACUCGCGGGAAACCCGGUUUCGGGGAUCCGGAGCGACGUGGGGUGAGCGGUGCGGUGCUUCGGAUCGACUGCUUCGUCCACGGAGCGAAGCCGCAUAGCUGUUGCUGGAGAGGGCUGACUUUUUCCUGUGGACAAUUUGAUCUUAAAGCAACUACCCGUGAGUAGAGUGAAGAAUUGGAUUUUUAAACGUUUUAAUUUGGCACCGAAACGGGGAGGCUCAAAACAGGAAGUCCACCUCCCCCUUUUGUAAAUAAGACUGAGGCAAAGAGGUUGCAAGCUAAAGUCUUGGAAAGCCUAUUGUAAAGGACUAAAUUCUCAUCAGUAAAAAAUAUUAACCCCCCCCUUGGAAGCAGGAGAAGAGGGGGGAGGCUUUGGAUUGUGUAUCCCUGCAGGAGUGAGUGAAGGAAGUUAAAAUACAACCGUUCCGAACCUGGAAACGGGCUGCUAGUAAGAUCGACGUGACUUGGAAGGUUCAUUGACAGCGAAUAGAACGUUCGGUGACAGCUAGCAUAAGAGAGAUACAUUGUUUCCAUUGUCUUCAUCUGCACUUAAAAAGGAGUAAAAGUAACGGAAAAUUGAAACAACUUUAUUGAACUUUAUUAAAAAAGGAGGAAAGUAACUGAAAAUUGAAACUAACUUUGGAUUAAUGAAACUGUGUUUAAAAGAGGACAUACUGACCGAUACAAAUACAACUCGCUUUCCCCUAGUGGAAGCUUUUGAAAUUGGUUACUUUAUAGGAGCUGGGCUAGGGAAAUUUCCAGCUGCAAGAUAAAAAAGUGUGAGACUUUGGAAUUGACCUUGAACCUCUUAAGUGUUAUGGUAAAUGGAAAGGAAAAAACAGACGGGAUGUCGACAGAGGAGGCCUUAGUGGCUGCAUUAUUGAAAAUAAACGAUUCGCUGGAACAACUCCACAAGAAAACAGAUGCGAUAAAUGUGAAAUUGGAUGUUGCAAAUAUUGAAAUUGAUUCAACUGUAGAAAGUUUAAAUAACUUGGGACAAAAGGUGAAUACCAAUUCAGAAACCACCCAGAAACUGACACAGGAAUCUACUUCGAUAUGGCAAACUGCAGAUGAAGUCAGGGGAAAAACCCUUGCUGCUGAAUCAGUAAUACAACAGGAGAGGAGAGUCCCAUCCAUACAAAGACAACUUGACGAACAUAAGUUGACAUUCGUUAUGAUUGAACUUAAAGAAGAACGGAUGAAUUUGAGGACCAGAGCCCUAUCUUAAUUGGAAAAGGAAAGCUUGACAGAGUUUCAGGAGGCGAUACUAACACUGGUUGAGAAAGAGAGGUAUUUGGGGGUUAGUAUGACCGCCAAAAAUGUGAAUCUGCUUAAGGAUAACUGUGAAGGAUGUUGGAUUGAAGAGAAGGGGGAUUUGGAAAUAUGGACAAGUCAGAAGUUGUUACUGUUGGGCCGAGUUAUUGUGGUGGGGAUGAGGGCUGCUGUGUUGCUGAGGAUGUUGCUUUUGUUUCAAACAUUGCAAGCUUUGGAUGGGAUGGAGGGUUUCAGGAGGUGGCAGAGGGAUGCUCCUAGAGUUGUUUGGCAGGGCAGGAAGCCUCGAGUAAAAUUUAAGAUAUUGAUGGAUGCCAAAGAAGGAGGUGGACCUGCCCUGCCAGACCUUUAAACUUUGCUGUGAAACCAUCUGCUUUUUGCUGGUUGAGAGAAUGGUUGCUUUUUGAAAACACUGAAGCGUUGGACAAGGGCAGAUGAAGUUGAUGGACUAUAUGGAAUUGGCGGAAAUGACUGGCAAGAUCCGAGACCAGGGUGAAGAGUCGGUGGAAGAAGAUUGGAAAAAGUUUAAAGACUAUUUAUAGAAAUAUUGUAAAAUUAAAGAAUGUUAGAAAAAUGUUGGAAUGAAAUUAUAUGGCUUUAGCAGAAAUGUCAUAAGGAAUUAAGUAUAAAUAGAUUAAUAG
rnacentral:lncRNA from 1 species